rnacentral:rRNA from 1 species
AUGUGCAGCGGCGAGACCAAGCCCGAGUGCUUCAGUUACAGGGUGCUGGGUCUGCCGCGGGGGAAGCUGGACGCCGUCUCCCCGAUCAGGCGUGGCGCUGUGCUCUUCCUCUACGACUUCCACGCCAAGUACCUCUACGGGCCCUACCACGCCAAGACGGUGCGCGCGCUGCUGGCGGUGCUCGGCGAGGACGACCGCCGAGAGGGGAUGCGCAGGAUGCCCAAGCGCGUCGCCAAGGCCUUCCGCGACGGCACCCGAGGGAACCAGGCUCUCAAAACCAAGUCAAACUCCGACAGCAAGUCAUUGGUCGAGAUAAGGGGGCGGACGAUGCAAGCGAAGCGGCGAAUCAUCAGAUACCAGGUGAAUAAGAAGCUGCUAGAUUUGAGUGGUAUCGUCACUGUAUUCUUCUGUGGUAUUGUGAUGUCACAUUACACCUGGCAUAACAUGACAGAGAGAGUUACAACAAAGGGAUGUUACUGUUCAGUGAAAAACCUGCAUUGCAAGAUAUACUACAGUGCAGGUCCUUGUGGUACUAUGGGAUUUAUUAGCUGUUUGGAGAUGUACUCAUAUUGUGCCAUGUAUUUUAUUAGCUAUAUGAUUACACAUGUCAGUUUUAUUAUCAAAAUCUGA